GAGUUUUGUAAGGCAGACGACAGUAUGUGGUGACCCCCGUCUCUGGCUGCUUUUUGCAUCUCGCGUGCACGUAGCUCAGCUAAAGAUACAGUAGAGUUGUGUACGUGCCAUAAAGGUACAUUAAAGCAGGAAAUAAAUAUUGAUUUAAGCUACAGACUGGUAGGUUAUGGACUUCCGCAAUACCCGAUAGGUCUGUCCCAGCGUGCUCUGAAGCUUCCUAAGGCAGACAUGACGCAAAAAAAAAGGGGGGGGGGGAUAAAAAUACAGACAGGUAGAGAUGCCAGCGUGAAAUUCCCACACCGGUUUCCCGUGACGUCACAGAUUCCGACAGCGUCUACUACGGGUUAGUUUUAUUCACUUGUCAAUCAAGAAACAUUACUCUGCGUCCGAAAGUUAGAAAUGACUAGAGCUGGCACCACACCUUUCGUGAACAACACAAAGCCUAAACGCGCGAUAACGCAGCGAAAUACGUGACGUCACCGGCGCCGCGGUUUCGGCGCCGAAUUUCGAUAAGGAAAACGACCAGUCUUCUUUUCAAAAAUUGCCACCGUUCUGCCCUUACAAACAGCGUUUCGAAAGAAUACUGCACCAGUCUAAGCUGACUUAAGUGUUGUUCCUCUUUACUGUCCCUUUAAGCAAACAACUUCGAGGAGACACUAAGAGCCGUUACACUAUACACAGCUUGAAACAUAACACAUGUUCGCGAACAUGCACAGCAUGGUCGCACGCAUGCGCACACGCACAAAAAAGAAAGCAAUGGGCCUUCACGGCUGAGAGAAGAAAUCAAAACUUCCAAACGACUUCGUAACUUGGCUAAAUUAUACUCGACCGCGCCGUCCACGUACUUGCGCGCCGUGGAUCCUGCGAAAAAGUCGACGAGCCGCUCGGGCUACAAAAAUAUCAGCCGCUAAUAUUUGCGCUCUCUCCUUGCCGGCGAACCGCACUCCUCGCUAAUAGAACUACUCACACUCGUGGACUAGUAUAUAUAUAUUUAUAGCGGAAGUCCCGACCUCCGGUGUGCAAAAGCCUUCCUUUAAAGGUUAGGUAUCGACCGUCACAUUUUCUCUCCUUUUCGUCACACACGCCCCCAGAUGCAUGUGACAACAUUAGUCUUACUUUAUUAUUUAAGAGAGGAAAAGAACGACGAUGCGGGCUUUCUUCGAGAAGCAGCUCUCUCGCUAGG
rnacentral:lncRNA from 1 species